rnacentral:rRNA from 1 species
AGUGAACGCUGGCGGUAGGCCUAACACAUGCAAGUCGAACGGCAGCACAGUAAGAGCUUGCUCUUACGGGUGGCGAGUGGAGGACGGGUGAGGAAUACAUCGGAAUCUACUUUUUCGUGGGGGAUAACGUAGGGAAACUUACGCUAAUACCGCAUACGACCUACGGGUGAAAGCAGGGGAUCUUCGGACCUUGCGCGAUUGAAUGAGCCGAUGUCGGAUUAGCUAGUUGGCGGGGUCAAGGCCCACCAAGGCGACGAUCCGUAGCUGGUCUGAGAGGAUGAUCAGCCCCACUGGGACAGGGACACGGUCCAGACUCCUACGGGGAGCAGCAGUGGGGAAUAUUGGACAGUGGGAGCAAGCCUGAUCCAGCCAUACCGCGUGGGUGAAGAAGGCCUUCGGGUUGUAAAGCCCUUUUGUUGGGAAAGAAAAGCAGCAGGUUAAUACCCCGCUGUUCUGACGGUACCCAAAGAAUAAGCACCGGCUAACUUCGUG